AUGCCCGUGUGUGAGAAGGCCUGAGGGUUGUAAAGCACUUUCAGUGGGGAGGAGGAUAGCAUGGUUAAGAGCUGAGCUAUUGGACGUUACCUACAGAAGAAGCACCGGCUAACUCCGUGCCAGCAGCCGCGGUAAUACGGAGGGUGCGAGCGUUAAUCGGAAUUACUGGGCGUAAAGGGUGCGUAGGUGGUUAAAUAAGUUAGAUGUAAAAACCCUGGGCUUAACCUAGGACUGAGAUUUAAUACUGUUUAACUAGAGUAUGGGAGAGGGUAGUGGAAUUUCCGGUGUAGCGGUGAAAUGCGUAGAGAUCGGAAGGAACACCAGUGGCGAAGGCGGCUACCUGGCCUAAUACUGACACUGAGGCACGAAAGCGUGGGGAGCAAACAGGAUUAGAUACCCUGGUAGUCCACGCUGUAAACGAUGUCAACUAGCCGUUGG
rnacentral:rRNA from 1 species